GUAGCAAGUGUCAAGAGAUGAUAGGAAGACCGAAGGGGUAGAGGUAGAGGAAACGUAUCGAGCAUUCUCGACUUCAUUCUUCUCGUCUCCUCUCUCUCUCUCAAUCUCGCAAUCUCGCAAUCUCGCAAGAAAAAAUCGACACCGAGCUCUCGUUAAAUCGUCAUCCUAUCCGCCGAAUCUAAUCUACCGCUGUGGGAUAAUCGAAAUCGGUGACGAUUCUCAACGUCUCCCACUUCUCUCUCACAUCGAAACCUUCUCCUCCGAAACCAGAUAAGCCUUAGCAGUCAACGAGCUGCCAGAUUGGAGCCAAUCCAGGGUAGUCCAAGAGGGAUGUUCCUGGUGACUCAGAGAGAGAGAGAGUGAAAGAGAGAGCUUGGUGUAGAGUUCUUCUUGGGUUCCUCUUGUAUAUCUCCUCUUUCUUGUUGUUCUUCUUCUCUGUUCUUGAGAAGCUCAAGCUAAGUUGUUAGCUGAGUGUAAGAAAGUAACCGUGAGAGGAUGAUUGUAAUCUCCGGUGAAUUUUUUUUCAACUUUGUAAUUUUUUUUUUCAACUUUGUAAUGUUUUUAUGU